ensembl:lncRNA
CAGCCACCCCAGGUGUCUGUCCCAGAGCUGCCCCUAAGCCUGACCUCUGAGGGGCCUUGCAGGGAACCCAGCAGCCAGGUGGACUUUUCCAGCUCUGGAUGAAUGUGAACAGGGCCAUGCCUGGGGCCGAGUCAUCGCUUGCUCACCGACCUUCGGGAUCCUCCACCUGAGGGCCAGAAUGCUCUCCGGUGCUCGAGCCCUGUUAGGCCACCUGGUUCCACACUACAAAGACGCAGAGGACAACCGACCACCAGGCCACGGUACUGAGUCCCGCUGCUCCCGGCACAGAGAUGCAUGGUAGGAGGUCUCCAUCUCUUGCCUGGACCCCAGCUCCAUGGGGCAGACAGCAUGUGCCUGGCACACAAGAACACAAUAAAUACCGACUGCAAGGGACACAAAGGUAACUGGGGCAGGAUGCGUGGCCUGGUGUGGAUGCUCAAUGCAAUGAGCUACUAUUGUUCACUGAGCCAUGAAGGGGGAGGCGGGGCCUGAGAUCCACAGCCUCCGCGGUUUGUGCAUGAGGAUAGGCAGGUGCACCCCUCCUUUCCGGAGGCUGUCCCCCCCAGGCCCCUCCCAGCGCUGUGGCAAGGUAGGCCCCAGUGGCCAGCUUGGCAGAGGGGCGUGAGGGCCCUGCCACGUGCUCCUCCCCCAGAACAGGGGGCAGGCUGCUCUCUGGCCCACGCUGGAAAGGGGGGCAGAGGCCAGGUCCCCUCCCUGGAGCCCGCACCCUGGUGAGGGAGGCCUUGAGAGCUGGUUUCCUUCCUGCAUCAGGGCUCUGUAUUGACAGAGCUCCUCUAUAGCAGGCCCAGGGCUCGCAGCUCAUGGGUGUGAAAAAACCUUGCCCAGGACACAGUGGACUGACUGGAUCCCGAUGUGGAUCCACAGACAGGAAGGCAGAUGAAGCCAGUUCUUCAUCCUGGGCCAGGGAGGCUUAGACUGGAGGUCACAUGGUCCUGUCAGGCUCUUCCUGGUUACCUGCACAGGGCUCUGGCCAGGCGCCUCCCUGAAGGAGCCAGGAAACACCCUCACCGAAUCCCCCUCCAGACAAAAGCUCCCCCUACCCUGGCACCCACCGAGGACGCCCCAGAGAAAGCCCCACUUCAGGUCGCCGUACCCGCGGCAACAAGGGUGGGUGGCAGCCAUCAGGGUGGCGGGAAGAUGUCUGCGCACUGCUGCAGGAUGAGCUCCACCACCUGGUUCUGGAACACCAUGGUCAUGGGCAUGCUGCCCUCCUC